rnacentral:lncRNA from 1 species
AUAAAGAAAUAAUAUUAUCCUCAAUGAUAUGUUAAGAAUUUUUUUUAGCUACAGUGCAUGAUGUGCGACAAUAAUUUAGAGACGGUUGAUUAUUUGCUGGUUGGAUGCGUAAUCAGUAGAUUUUUCAUAUAUAACAUUUUAGAAGAUAGGCACAUUUCAGGAUCUGAGAUGGAGGUCAAGAGUAUUUAAGAGUUUCUUGUUACCGCCGCCAAGGGAUAGCUACGAGGGAUCUAACCAAAAAUUAAAAACCCCUA